rnacentral:rRNA from 1 species
GAUGAACGCUGGCGGCGUGCUUAACACAUGCAAGUCGAACGAGAAGUGAAGACGGAACCCUUCGGGCGGAAGGCUUUAUUUCGAGUGGCGGACGGGUGAUUAACGCGUGGGUAACCUGCCUCAUACAGGGGGAUAACAGUUGGAAACGACUGUUAAUACCGCAUAAGACCACAGCACCGCAUGGUGCGGGGGUAAAAACUCCGGUGGUAUGAGAUGGACCCGCGUUCGAUUAGCCAGUUGGCGGGGUAACGGCCCACCAAAGCGACGAUCGAUAGCCGAUCUGAGAGGAUGACCGGCCACAUUGGGACUGAGACACGGCCCAAACUCCUACGGGAGGCAGCAGUGGGGAAUAUUGCACAAUGGGGGAAACCCUGAUGCAGCGACGCCGCGUGAGUGAAGAAGUAUUUCGGUAUGUAAAGCUCUAUCAGCAGGGAAGAAAAUGACGGUACCUGAGUAAGAAGCCCCGGCUAACUACGUG